rnacentral:rRNA from 1 species
AUCGAACGCUGGCGGCAUGCUUUACACAUGCAAGUCGAACGGUAACAGGCCGCAAGGUGCUGACGAGUGGCGAACGGGUGAGUAAUGCAUCGGAACGUGCCCAGUCGUGGGGGAUAACUGCUCGAAAGAGCAGCUAAUACCGCAUACGAUCUAUGGAUGAAAGCGGGGGACCGUAGGGCCUAGCGCGAUUGGAGCGGCCGAUGUCAGAUUAGGUAGUUGGUGGGGUAAAGGCUCACCAAGCCAACGAUCUGUAGCUGGUCUGAGAGGACGACCAGCCACACUGGGACUGAGAUACGGCCCAGACUCCUACGGGAGGCAGCAGUGGGGAAUUUUGGACAAUGGGGGCAACCCUGAUCCAGCAAUGCCGCGUGCAGGAAGAAGGCCUUCGGGUUGUAAACUGCUUUUGUACGGAACGAAACGGUCUGGGUUAAUACCCUGGGCUAAUGACGGUACCGUAAGAAUAAGCACCGGCUAACUACGUGCCAGCCGCCGCGGUAAGAC